GCAGGCUGCUAAGCAUGUGCAAGGUCCUAGGAUCAGAGCCUAACACAGCCCGUCACCCUCCACCCCCCUCAACAAAACAAAGAAAGGGAGAGGUUGUGUAUUUGGGUCCAUUUGUGUGAGGAACCUAGAGUGGAGAUGUUCACAGAAACAGAGAGAGGAGCUGGGGGUGGCUGCGGAUCUGGCAUUUUAAGGGUGCAGCCUCAGUUUGCGGUGAUGGAAAGUUCCAGAGACAGAUGGUGGUGAUGUUUGUACAGCGUUGCGAGUGUGCGUGGCAUCCUUAGACCUUGGAAAUAGCAAGCCUCAUGUGGCAUCCGCUCCACUACUCUUUUAAUAGUUACUUUCAUUUUUAAAAACUAACAAGAAGUAAACAGAGGUUGUCAGUGGUGGCGCAUACCCAUAAACCCUUAGGAGGUAGAGGCAGGAGGAUCCGGAGUUCAAGGCCAACCUGGGCUACAGGAGACCCUGUCUCAAAAGAAAAGUUGAGCCGUGUAUGGUAGCACAUGCUCAGCACUUGGACAGCAGAAGCAGGUGGAUCUCUGUGAGUCCAGGCUAACCCCCUCUAUCAGUCUACAUAGUGAGUUCCAGGCUAACCCCCUCUAUCUGUCUACAUAGUGACCUUGCUUUUUUUCCGAGUGCUGUCCACAUGGACACCUGGCGCUUUCCAGCCCCAAAUCCAGAUCCUACCCAGCAUGCACUAAAUAUACAGACAGGAUCAAGAGAAUCCUCUGUGUCCCAGCCCUGCCCCAUUUACUGUGCAACCUCAGAAAGGAACCAUAUUUCUGAAACCUUCUUGUGCCGGUCCUGGCAGAUCGUGACGUUGAGCUCCUGCCUAGGGGAGGGGACUGAGCAGCCACCUAAGUCAGGGACAAAGGCAGAAGCCAGCUUGGGCUUGGUGUGUUGCUGGCUCCACAGGAGUUCUGGAACCCACGGUUUGCAAACUGCUUUGCUUCUGGUAUGUUUUUGUGUUCCUUCGUGGGACCCUGAGGGAUUAUU
rnacentral:lncRNA from 1 species